rnacentral:sRNA from 1 species
UUUGGUAAGAGACAGGGUAUUGGGCUUCUGGAGAAACCUUUGUGUCCCUAACCUGUUCCAUCCUGUCCCCAGGACAUUGACAAGCAGUACGUGGGCUUCGCCACACUGCCCAACCAGGUGCACCGCAAGUCGGUGAAGAAAGGCUUUGACUUCACACUCAUGGUGGCUGGUGAGUCAGGCCUGGGGAAGUCCACACUGGUCCACAGCCUCUUCCUGACAGACUUGUAUAAGGACCGGAAGCUGCUCAGUGCUGAGGGUGAGUGGCCCCCAGGAGGCCCUGGCACUGAUCCCCGGUCCCCUUCCAUGGGACCUCUCCAAGGACUCCCUUUCAGGUCCAGCUCCCACUGUUCUGUUCUCGCGGUGUGGGUCCCCUGGGGGUAGGGCCAAGGCACCAAGAUGGAUGAGGACGAGGGUCCUGGCUGCCAAGGGUGAGGGGCUGAGGGUUGGAGAGGCCCCUCCAGUGGCCCCUUCCCCGUAGAGCGCAUCAGCCAGACGGUAGAGAUUCUAAAACACACGGUGGACAUUGAGGAGAAGGGAGUCAAGCUGAAGCUCACCAUCGUGGACACGCCGGGAUUCG